UACGGGAGGCAGCAGUGGGGAAUAUUGCACAAUGGGCGCAAGCCUGAUGCAGCCAUGCCGCGUGUAUGAAGAAGGCCUUCGGGUUGUAAAGUACUUUCAGUCGUGAGGAAGGUGUUAAGGUUAAUAACCUUAGCAAUUGACGUUAGCGACAGAAGAAGCACCGGCUAACUCCGUGCCAGCAGCCGCGGUAAUACGGAGGGUGCGAGCGUUAAUCGGAAUUACUGGGCGUAAAGGGCACGCAGGCGGUUAAUUAAGUUGGAUGUGAAAUCCCCGGGCUUAACCUGGGAAUGGCAUUCAAGACUGGUUAGCUAGAGUCUUGUAGAGGGGGUAGAAUUCCAUGUGUAGCGGUGAAAUGCGUAGAGAUGUGGAGGAAUACCGGUGGCGAAGGCGGCCCCUGGACAAGACUGACGCUCAUGUGCGAAAGCGUGGGGAGCAAACAGGAUUAGAUACC
rnacentral:rRNA from 1 species